CCUGGUUGAUCCUGCCAGUAGUAAAUGCUUGUCUCAAAGAUUAAUCUAUGCACGUGUAAGUACACACGGCUGGAACAGUGAAACUGCGAAUGGCUCAUUAAAUCAGUUAUGGUUCCUUUGAUCGCUCCAUCUAUUACUUGGAUAACUGUGAUAAUUCUAGAGCUAAUACAUGCCGUCGAGUGCGGACGUCCCGGGAUGCGUGCAUUUAUCAGACCAAGACCAAUCCACGGCUGAUGGGGACGAUGCAUCUCGGAUGUCUGCCCUAUCAAUUUUCGAUGGUACUUUCUGUCCCUAGCAUGGUGACCACGGGUAAUGGGGAAUCGAGUUCGAUUCGGGCGAGGGAGCCCGAGAAACGUCUACUACAUCCAAGGAAGGCAGCAUGCGUGCAAAUUACCCAAAUUACCGACUCCGGGAGGUAGUGACGAAAAUUAACAAUACAGGACUGUAAUUUGAAUCCUUUAACAAGUACCCAUUGAGGGCAAGUCUGAUGCCAGCAGCCGCUGUAAUUCCAGCUCCAAUAGCGUAUACUAAAGUUGCUGCAGUUAAAAAGCUUGUAGUUGGAUCUUGGGAUCGAGCUGGGGAUUGCCGCGAGGCGCUUGUCCCAGGCCCUGCCUCUCGGCGCCCCCAUGCUGCCCUCGACUGAGUGUCCUGGGGGUCCAAAGCAUUUACUUUGAAAAUAUGAGUGUUCAAAGCAGGCCGGUUGCCUGAAUACUUCAGCUAGGAAUAAUGGGAUAGGACUCUGGUUCUAUUUUGUUGGUUUUCAGAACUGGGGCCAUGAUUAAGAGGGACGGCCAGGGGCAUUCCUAUUGUGCCGCUACAGGUGAAAUUCUUGGACCGGCGCAAGACAAACAAAGCAAAAGCAUUACCCAAGAAUGUUUUCGUUAAUCAAGAACGAAAGUCUGAGGUUCAAAAACUAUCCGAUACUGUUGUAGUUCCAACCAUAAAGAUGCCGACUAGCGAUCUGGCGGCGUUCUUCCGAUGACCCACUGAGUAGCUUCCGGGAAACCAAAGUCUUUGGGUUCCGGGAAGGGGGAAGGGGGAGUAUGGUUGCAAAGCUGAAACUUAAAGGAAUUGACAGAAGGGCACCACCAGGUAUGGAGCCUGCGCUUUAAUUUGACUCAACACCGGAAACCUCACCUGGCCCGGACAGAAAAAGGAUUGACAGAUUGAUAGCUCUUUCUCGAUUAUGUGGGUGGUGGUGCAAGGCCGUUCUUAGCUGGUGGAGCGAUUUGUGUGGUUAGUUCCGAUAACGAACGAGACUCCUCCAUGCUAACUAGUUACUCAACGCCCCCAGAGGUCGGCGUUCAACUUCUUAGAGGGACAAGUGGUGUUCAGCCACAUGAGAUUGAGCAAUAAUAGGUCUGUGAUGCCUUUAGAUGUCUGGGGCUGCAUGCGCGCUACAGUGAACGGAUCAGCGUAUGUCUACCCUUCACCGACGGGUGCGGCUAUCUUGCUGAACCCUGUUUGUGCUAGGGAUUGGGGAUUCCAUUUAUUUCCCGUGAACUAGGCAUUCCCAGUAAGUGCGGGUCAUAAGUUUGCGUUAAGUCCCUGCCCUAUGUACACACCGCCCAUCGAUACUGCAGAUUGGAUGCUUCAGUGAGGUCCUCGGAUCGGCCCCGUCGGGGUCGGCAACGGCCCUUGGCGGAGUGGCGAGAAGACGAAUCAAACUUGACUAUCUACUCUAGAGGAAGUAAAAGUCGCUAUGGGCUGGGUUAACCUGCCGGGG
rnacentral:rRNA from 1 species